rnacentral:rRNA from 1 species
UACAGAGGGUGCAAGCGUUGUUCGGAAUUAUUGGGCGUAAAGCGCGUGUAGGCGGCUUUGCAAGUCGGGUGUGAAAGCCCUCAGCUCAACUGAGGAAGUGCGCCCGAAACUGCAGAGCUUGAGUACCGGAGAGGGUGGCGGAAUUCCCCAAGUAGAGGUGAAAUGCGUAGAUAUUGGGAGGAACACCAGUGGCGAAGGCGGCUCACUGGACCGGUACUGACGCUGAGGCGCGAAAGCGUGGGUAGCAAACGGG